UACGUAGGGACCAAGCGUUGUUCGGAUUUACUGGGCGUAAGGGGCGCGUAGGCGGCGUGGUAAGUCACUUGUGAAAUCUCUGAGCUUAACUCAGAACGGCCAAGUGAUACUGCUGUGCUAGAGUGCAGAAGGGGCAAUCGGAAUUCUUGGUGUAGCGGUGAAAUGCGUAGAUAUCAAGAGGAACACCUGAGGUGAAGACGGGUUGCUGGGCUGACACUGACGCUGAUGCGCGAAAGCGUGGGGAGCGAACAGG
rnacentral:rRNA from 1 species